rnacentral:rRNA from 1 species
CACCUCCCACCCGUGUUUAUUUUACCUUGUUGCUUCGGCGGGCCCGCCUUAACUGGCCGCCGGGGGGCUUACGCCCCCGGGCCCGCGCCCGCCGAAGACACCCUCGAACUCUGUCUGAAGAUUGUAGUCUGAGUGAAAAUAUAAAUUAUUUAAAACUUUCAACAACGGAUCUCUUGGUUCCGGCAUCGAUGAAGAACGCAGCGAAAUGCGAUACGUAAUGUGAAUUGCAAAUUCAGUGAAUCAUCGAGUCUUUGAACGCACAUUGCGCCCCCUGGUAUUCCGGGGGGCAUGCCUGUCCGAGCGUCAUUUCUGCCCUCAAGCACGGCUUGUGUGUUGGGCCCCGUCCUCCGAUCCCGGGGGACGGGCCCGAAAGGCAGCGGCGGCACCGCGUCCGGUCCUCGAGCGUAUGGGGCUUUGUCACCCGCUCUGUAGGCCCGGCCGGCGCUUGCCGAUCAACCCAAAUUUUUAUCCAGGUUGACCUCGGAUCAGGUAGGGAUACCCGCUGAACUUAAGCAUAUCAA